ensembl:lncRNA
AAAGGGGCUGUGUGGGAACCGAGCCGCCCAGCUCUGCUCUGCCACACAGCUCCGUGCCCACUGCCACUGCAACGGUGCAGAGGAGCAGCACUGCUUCACUUCUGCCUUUGAAACCACAGCAAGCACGAUGCAAACCAAACCAUGGGUACCGAAGAUGUCCAAAGAGGCAGGCUGACUCUCCUGCCCUCGAAGACAGGUUUGGCUCCACGAGCAGGGCAUCGUGUGACUCCUGGAAUACAUUCUAUCUCAUACAUAGCCACUACGUGGUCUUCCCCCCCCCCCAAAUACACACAAUAGAGACUCUAAUCAGCAUGGUCUUGCAUAGAGAUUUUAAUAGCUGAGAAAAACGCAGUUGCAGUCACAUGUUCACUGGCCUGUUGUAACUAUUUCAAUUACCAAAGCAAAUGACCACAAUUUAAAUGUGCUGAUAAAGGGGAAGCUCAUUUACAGUGUGUAUAUAAGAAUAUCAUUAUUAGCUACAUAGACCCCUGUUCACAGCUGCAUGGGAAUUUUACCAGCGUGUAAAGUAUCUCCAUUUGGUGUACGCUAUGGUACAGUCCUCAUGAUUAAAUUUCUGCCUUUCAAGCAAAAAAUCACCAAUAACACCUGCUGCUGCAUUGACUGGUCCAAUACGGACUUACCAACGACUCCCAAUAGUGAGUCAUCAAACUCAAUUUGCUUCAGCAUGCAAAAAAGCCCCCUGUAUUUUAGCACCUUCUACUCACAGCAGUGAGAGAUGACACCUAAAAGAACUCCGGCCCUGGUAUGGUGUGCACUAACACCAGCAAAGCUGUUUGAUUUACAUCAAGAAACAGAUGUCCCUCAAGUGAUCUUGAGAUUUUCAGCACUUGGUAUAUUUGCCCUUGCUUCUAUCCACAUCCAGCCAGCACUGGACUUGGCUAUUACUGUCCAACAGACUUACUGAUGCAUUGGAUAUCUGCUUCAAGGUUUCAAAAUGCCUGGAUACACCAACAGGUACCAAAGAAUUAAAGGGCUUUGUGGCCCAUGGUUGUGUUGUCCAUUUUUGUUGGGAAUGACACGAGAAAUACACUGAGCAGCACACUGUAUUAAACUGCAAAGAAAGCUAAAAUUACUUUAGAAAAGCCUCAUUUCAUGAUCAAGGCCUCAAUGUUUUGCAUCAUUCUCUCACAUGCUUUCUGGUUCAGGUUCCUUCCACCACUUAGCCUGGCACGCAAACACAUUAAAACCCUCUUUUGAUAGGAGGAGUCCAAGAAGGACACUGUGCUUAAGACCUCAUGGGCUGUCUUUUUAAUAUAUAUUAGCAAGAUGACGGAUACCCUGAGUGGACCAGUCAGGGAAAGCAAACGAAGACAAGAAAUAUUCUCAGGGUGUUAUUGAUUAUCUGUUUUUCAGAGCAGAGGGAAUCGUUUUUAACUGGUUUAAACUAUGAUGGACUCAAGUGGAAAACGCAAGGAGAGUUAGCGAGGAGCAUAAUUGACUGGGCAUGGAACUCAGUAACCUCUCAGCACGCUGGAAGUGGUGGAGCAGAGGGGUUACGGCCAGGGCUGCUCCGCACCCACAGCCCUUUCUUCCCAAAGUGAACUCCGCCAGCAGCCAAAGACGGCAAUGACAACAAAAGUGUCAUGCCACAUUAUCAUCUUGCCGGCUCACACACUCCUGCCUGACAAGUUCUCUCUGCCCCUUGUGACAACCAUUCCAGGCUUAUGCUGUUUAUUUUUGGUGUCAGGCUGGCCCUGGCAGAUUGAAAGGCAACCUCAACCCCUUGAACAACAAGCACCACACCCCACUUGGCGAUAAGAGAUGAUUUGAGAAGAUAUUUGCUUACAUGUGUAUAAGCAAUUUGCUGUAUGAUGAAGCCCCGGUGUGCCUGUGUGAACGCACACGUAUGUGUGCAAAGGGGAAGGAACUGCAGAAGCGUAACAUUUCAUGAGAAAACAAACAAUUCAUUGCGGAUCCCAGGUAGCAGGCUUCAAUCAUCACAUCCCAUCGUACACACAGAACGUGAAACGUGGGCCACAAAGGCACCACGGGUACUCCCCACAAAGAGAAACGACAGCUAAGCUCGGUCUGUCCCUGCAAAACAGCCUCGCUGUGUCCCUGCAGAGCGCUGCGAGAUGCAGCGGCAGAGGCACCCCAUAGGAGGAAUGGGGACAAAACACGACAGUUCACUGCAGAAACACGCUAGGGCCAGAUUCAUCUCUGCUGUCAUGGAGUCCAUUUGGAACAGCACUGUUGUCAUUGAAUUACUUGGGACUGCCUGCAAUUGGAAUCACAGAACCUUGUCUUCAAGUAGCAGGCUGCGUGCAUCAUGGAGACUUCCUUUUAACUAUCCAAUUUUUACAGCCUGUACAUAAGCAGGACUAUGUCUACAGCUAGGGUUUCUUGGUGUAAGCACAAUUAAAGCUGAUAGUAAUUACAAAAGUAUGUAUUACAUUUGUUUUUAACGCUAAACUUAAGAAUACGGCAGUAUUUGUUUUAUGUUUACUUGGCUGGUUGAGGUGGUGGUGGUAGAGCAGGGCUUCUCUCCACUCCGAGUCAGGGAUAGCGUCCCACCCUCCCACCUCACCAGGCACAGAACAAGCUGCUCCUGGACCAACUGUUCCAUUGCUACCUGUCAGGAGGAAAGCUGCAGGGAAUCGGACAUGAUGUCCGGGUAGCAGCAGCACGAAGGAGAAAUGAAGGAGCAGGUUGGCAGAUCAACACAGAUUUCAUAUUUACUAUCCAGCCCAGUUAUUGUAGGCUGUGCCUACAGCUGUGCACUUGAUUUAGUUUACAGGCACUGCUUCAGCCCUGGUAAGAGGUGGGAGUGUGCUUCACCGCGGCGUUUACACAGAUCACAACGUAAACAAAACUUGACCCAACACCUUUUAUGUUAUCUCAGAGAAAGAAUCAUAAACUGAGCAAAAUCCACACCAUUAACUCCAGUGCAGUCUUUGAUCAAAUCGGGAGCUAAAAGGAAAACAGAUUUCCUUAAAAACAAACUAACAAAGCAGUAUGUGCAUUUCAUUUUUAAUCCAUUUUCUAGCAACCACACCAUAGAAAGGCAGAGGCUCACAACAGCAAUGCAUCUGAACACAAAAUAUGGCCAUCCCAAGGCACACUAAUGGCAUCCACAGCGCUGGUAAGAGGGAGCACGGAUGUUUUUACAACUGUAGGAUGGGGAAAAUUACUGUUGAUUAUGGAGCAGCAAUGAAAUGCCACAGUUGUGAGUGAUAAACACAGCAAAUGCUACAGGGGGUCCUUCUGGAAAAGGAAAAAAGGGGAACGUUUCGUCAUGCAGAAAAAUAUCCCAGGAAAAAAGGAUGGAGGUGACGCCUGCGUGGCUGUUACCAACCACGGGCUUCAUUCUGCCCCCAGCUGCACACGUGCAACCCAUCACCAGGUAAGAUUUCUCAGUUUCUAUAGCGAAUGCAGGUGUACACCUAAGGGCAGAUUGUAACUUCCUCUCUCAAACAAAACACAGCGAAUGGAGACGGGCUCCCAUUGCAGCAGAACACUGCACAGCCACUUUGCCCUACAGGAAACACCGUAUGCAUGUCAGCCAGCAGAACCUUCUUACUUCUUCUCGUUAGUACUGUGCAUACGCAACCAGAUGCAAAUAUAUACACUUGCAUGCAUUGCUACUGCCACAUAACCCAGCCUGGGAUAUCCCAUUCCCAAACACCUGAGUACCUACACAGCUCUUCAUGGGUGCAAAGCCUCCAGGACUGCAGCAAUGAAACAGCGGAACAGAACUCACAUUGCCUGCGAGGCCCAUCUAUUCAUCUCUGCCCACAAGACUCCCUCGCACCACUGCAUGCUUUUUAUACUUCAUUAAAGCAAAUCACUGAUGUUCUUCAGCUGACAAACAUCCCCGGAAAGGAUGCAAAGAGCGGCAAGAAUUCGGCUUUGGCAAGCAGAUCUAUUUUCAUCUUACAUUUACAGUUGCUUGUGCAUAUCUAUAUAUCCAUCUGCAUCCCUAUCUUCAUAAAAACCUAACUGCAACAAAAUAAAUGAUAAUAAUUCUGCUGUUUCUGUUUCCGCUCUUCCCCAUCAGAAAGCUGGUAAUAAAACAAGCUCUCUAAAACAGGCAUUACCAACCCAGGCCAUGCAAACAAACACUUCACUGUUUUAUAAUCUCACAUGUCGAAUGAACAUCAUCGUUCCCUUUGGUGCCUUAAAAUAUCGGGUCCAUAAAAUUACUAAAAGGCAGAGCAGCAAUGCUGCCUAACACGCAGCCCACGGGAAGGCUGACAGUGCCCCAUCAGCUUCGCUUGUUGGCAGCUCUGAAUGUGCGUAGCACUGUUGGUUGGGCAAAGCGCUCACAGAGCACUGCGUGAACACAGCCGGGCCGUGGGAGCAGCACACCACGAGGUGACCCCGAGCCCUGGGGAUGCGGAUGGUGCAGUGUCCCUUUGGCCUUCUGCAGGCGGAAGAUGCCAGCACUUAUCCUAGCUGUGCAGCACAGAGGGCUCAAGGAGAAAUACCGUGGGACACCAGAUAUGGGCAUUAGAGCGCAAUCCCUUACAGAGCGUGGUCAGUCCACUGCUGUAGUUGGUUUUAAACAGCACUGUGCACUGCGUGAUGGAUGUUGACAAAAAAAAACAACCCCAUAAUUACAAACAAACAAAAAAAAA